GGGGGGAGCAAGCGUUGUUCGGAUUUACUGGGCGUAAAGGGCGCGUAGGCGGCCUCUGCAAGUCGACUGUGAAAUCUCCGGGCUUAACCCGGAAAGGUCAGCCGAUACUGCAGGGCUAGAGUGCAGAAGGGGCAACUGGAAUUCUCGGUGUAGCGGUGAAAUGCGUAGAUAUCGAGAGGAACACCUGCGGCGAAGGCGGGUUGCUGGGCUGACACUGACGCUGAGGCGCGAAAGCUAGGGGAGCGAACGGGAUUAGAUACCCCGGUAGUCCUAGCCUUAAACGAUGAAUGCUUGGUGUCUGGGGUUAUAUAGUCCCCGGGUGCCGUCGCUAACGCUUUAAGCAUUCCGCCUGGGGAGUACGGUCGCAAGACUG
rnacentral:rRNA from 1 species